UCCCUAGUAACUGCGAGUGAAGCGGGAAAAGCUCAAAUUUAAAAUCUGGCAGUCUUUGGCUGCCCGAGUUGUAGUCUGGAGAAGUGCUUUCCGCGCUGGACCGUGUACAAGUCUCCUGGAAUGGAGCGUCAUAGAGGGUGAGAAUCCCGUCUUUGACACGGACUACCAGUGCUCUGUGAUGCGCUCUCAAAGAGUCGAGUUGUUUGGGAAUGCAGCUCAAAAUGGGUGGUGAAUUCCAUCUAAAGCUAAAUAUUGGCGAGAGACCGAUAGCGAACAAGUACCGUGAGGGAAAGAUGAAAAGCACUUUGGAAAGAGAGUUAAACAGUACGUGAAAUUGUUGAAAGGGAAACGCUUGAAGUCAGUCGCGUUUGCCAGAACUCAGCCUAGCUUCGGCUUGGUGUACUUUCUGGUGAACGGGCCAGCAUCAAUUUUGAUCGUCGGAUAAUGGCAAGGGGAAUGUGGCACCUUCGGGUGUGUUAUAGCCCCUUGUCGCAUACGGCGGUUGGGAUUGAGGAAUUCGGCAUCCCCUCGUGGUUGAUGCUUAGGAUGCUGGCGUAAUGGCUUUAAACGACCCGUCUUGAAACACGGACCAAGGAGUCUAACAUGCCCGCGAGUGUUCGGGUGGAAAACCCGUGCGCGUAAUGAAAGUGAAAGUUGGGACCUCUGUUGUGGAGGGCACCGACGCCCGGACCAGACCUUCUGUGACGGAUCCCGCGGUAGAGCGUGUAUGUUGGGGACCCGAAAGAUGGUGAACUAUGCCUGAAUAGGGUGAAGCCAGAGGGAAACUCUGGUGGAGGCUCGUAGCCGAUUCCUGACGUGCCAAAUCGAUCGUCAAGAUUCGAGUAUAGAGGGUCUAAAGACUAAUUCGGAACCCGUGCUAGUAGGCCU
rnacentral:rRNA from 1 species